rnacentral:rRNA from 1 species
AUGGCUUCCGCGCCGACGCAGCCGCCCCUCCUCCCGGUCACCAACCCCACGGCCGCGGGCUCGGCGCCCGCCUCCGGCGGCGGUGGCGGCCUGGACGCGCCGAUCGCCACGCCGGCGUUCCGGCUCUUCAUGAGCCGGAUCUCCGAGUCGGCGCGGCGCUCGCUGUCCGACCGGCGCCCGUGGGCCGAGAUGGUCGACCGCUCGGCCUUCUCGCGGCCGGACUCCCUCUCCGACGCCACCUCGCGCCUGCGCCGCAACCUCACCUACUUCCGCGUCAACUACACCGCCGUCGUCGCCUUCGCGCUGGCCGCCUCGCUCCUGGCCCACCCCUUCUCGCUCCUCAUCCUCCUGGGGGUCCUCGCCGCCUGGUGCUUCCUCUACAUCUUCCGCGCCUCCGACCAGCCCGUCGCGCUCUUCGGCCGCACCUUCUCCGACCGCGAGACGCUGCUGGGGCUCGUCGUCGCCUCCAUCGUGGCCUUCUUCUUCACCCCCGUCGCGUCGCUCAUCAUCUCCGGGAUGCUCGUCGGCGGCGCCAUCGUCGCCGCCCACGGCGCCUUCCGCAUGCCAGAGGACCUCUUCCUGGACGACGCCGACGCGGCCAGCGGCAACAGCGCGGCCCAGGGGCUGCUGUCCUUCCUCGGGGCACCCGGAUCUAGGGUUUGA